rnacentral:snRNA from 1 species
UUUCUUAGCCUGGUACAGGAAAUACCAUGAUCACUAGGCCUCUUGUAAACUAAGAAGUGGUUUUCCCACAGUGAAGCCUGUCCCUUGCACUCUGGGCAUGCUGACCCCUGAAAGUUUCCUGAGAUGCAGGAAACUCAACUGCACAAUUUUGUGGCAAUGGGGGGCUGCUUUCUUGCUUUCCCCCC